GCAGAAGAUGUAGAAUUCCUGCUAAGAGAUUGGUGCAGAGAGCAUAAAAUCGCAACCUCUGAACGGAUGAAGAGGUUGCGGGAGCGGAAUGACCUACCCCAUUGUGUGGGAUCUAAAAGUUAUGCCAGAUUUAAUCACGAGGAGGUAAUUAAAUAUAUAUGUUUAUGUUUUUAAUAUUUGUUGGUAAUUGUUUUUCUUUUUCUUUUUCUUUAAACUAUUUUUAUCGCUAUCUGUUUGUUAUAUAUGUCAACUGCAUGACGACAGACAUGUACAUCUGGCACGCCCCCCACUCGCGCCGCGUCGUUCGUGAAGACCCACACAAGGAAGGACGGCACUUUCGUGAACGACCGUACACGGGUCUUAUGCGAGAGGAUGACGCAGAGUUUAGCCAGUGAUCCAGCCGCCACGCAAAGCGUCUCCGCAGACACGGUGCGUUGGGCACCGAACGACGCUUAGGAACAGGCGAUUGGGAGGCCUGAGUAUGCAGGGAGGGUUCGGCAGGUUGGGCCGAACGUCACACCUGUUCGA